GAUGAACGCUGGCGGCGUGCCUAAUACAUGCAAGUCGAGCGAAUGGAUUAAGAGCUUGCUCUUAUAAAGUUAGCGGCGGACGGGUGAGUAACACGUGGGUAACCUGCCCAUAAGACUGGGAUAACUCCGGGAAACCGGGGCUAAUACCGGAUAACAUUUUGAACCGCAUGGUUCGAAAUUGAAAGGCGGCUUCGGCUGUCACUUAUGGAUGGACCCGCGUCGCAUUAGCUAGUUGGUGAGGUAACGGCUCACCAAGGCAAAGAUGCGUAGCCGACCCGAGAGGGUGAUCGGCAACACUGGGACUGACACACGGCCCAGACGCCUACGGGAGGCAUCAGUAGGGAAUCUUCCGCAAUGGACGAAAGUCUGACGGAGCAACGCCGCGUGAGUGAUGAAGGCUUUCGGGUCGUAAAACUCUGUUGUUAGGGAAGAACAAGUGCUAGUUGAAUAAGCUGGCACCUUGACGGUACCUAACCAGAAAGCCACGGCUAACUACGUGCCAGCAGCCGCAGUAA
rnacentral:rRNA from 1 species